rnacentral:rRNA from 1 species
AUGAACGCUAGCUACAGGCUUAACACAUGCAAGUCGAGGGGCAGCAUUUUAGUUUGCUUGCAAACUGAAGAUGGCGACCGGCGCACGGGUGAGUAACACGUAUCCAACCUGCCGAUAACUCCGGGAUAGCCUUUCGAAAGAAAGAUUAAUACCGGAUAGUAUACGAAUAUCGCAUGAUAUUUUUAUUAAAGAAUUUCGGUUAUCGAUGGGGAUGCGUUCCAUUAGUUUGUUGGCGGGGUAACGGCCCACCAAGACUACGAUGGAUAGGGGUUCUGAGAGGAAGGUCCCCCACAUUGGAACUGAGACACGGUCCAAACUCCUACGGGAGGCAGCAGUGAGGAAUAUUGGUCAAUGGGCGCGAGCCUGAACCAGCCAAGUAGCGUGAAGGAUGAAGGCUCUAUGGGUCGUAAACUUCUUUUAUAUGGGAAUAAAGUUUUCCACGUGUGGAAUUUUGUAUGUACCAUAUGAAUAAGGAUCGGCUAACUCCGUGCCAGCAGCCGCGGUAAUACGGAGGAUCCGAGCGUUAUCCGGAUUUAUUGGGUUUAAAGGGAGCGUAGGUGGAUUGUUAAGUCAGUUGUGAAAGUUUGCGGCUCAACCGUAAAAUUGCAGUUGAAACUGGCAGUCUUGAGUACAGUAGAGGUGGGCGGAAUUCGUGGUGUAGCGGUGAAAUGCUUAGAUAUCACGAAGAACUCCGAUUGCGAAGGCAGCUCACUAGACUGUCACUGACACUGAUGCUCGAAAGUGUGGGUAUCAAACAGGAUUAGAUACCCUGGUAGUCCACACAGUAAACGAUGAAUACUCGCUGUUUGCGAUAUACAGUAAGCGGCCAAGCGAAAGCAUUAAGUAUUCCACCUGGGGAGUACGCCGGCAACGGUGAAACUCAAAGGAAUUGACGGGGGCCCGCACAAGCGGAGGAACAUGUGGUUUAAUUCGAUGAUACGCGAGGAACCUUACCCGGGCUUAAAUUGCAACAGAAUAUAUUGGAAACAGUAUAGCCGUAAGGCUGUUGUGAAGGUGCUGCAUGGUUGUCGUCAGCUCGUGCCGUGAGGUGUCGGCUUAAGUGCCAUAACGAGCGCAACCCUUAUCUUUAGUUACUAACAGGUCAUGCUGAGGACUCUAGAGAGACUGCCGUCGUAAGAUGUGAGGAAGGUGGGGAUGACGUCAAAUCAGCACGGCCCUUACGUCCCGGGCUACACACGUGUUACAAUGGGGGGUACAGAAGGCGGCUACCUGGUGACAGGAUGCUAAUCCCAAAAACCUCUCUCAGUUCGGAUCGAAGUCUGCAACCCGACUUCGUGAAGCUGGAUUCGCUAGUAAUCGCGCAUCAGCCAUGGCGCGGUGAAUACGUUCCCGGGCCUUGUACACACCGCCCGUCAAGCCAUGAAAGCCGGGGGUACCUGAAGUACGUAACCGCAAGGAGCGUCCUAGGGUAAAACUGGUAAUUGGGGCU